CCUACGGGAGGCAGCAGUGAGGAAUAUUGGUCAAUGGCCGGGAGGCUGAACCAGCCAAGUCGCGUGAGGGAAGACGGCCCUACGGGUUGUAAACCUCUUUUGUCAGGGAGCAAGGUGCAGGUCGGGACCUGCUUUGAGAGUACCUGAAGAAAAAGCAUCGGCUAACUCCGUCCCAGCAGCCGCGGUAAUACGGAGGAUGCGAGCGUUAUCCGGAUUUAUUGGGUUUAAGGGGUGCGCAGGCGGAGGCACAAGUCAGCGGUAAAAUCGCGGGGCUCAACCCCGCUCCGCCGUUGAAACUGUGUCCCUUGAGUGCGCGAAGGGUAGGCGGAAUGCGUGGUGUAGCGGUGAAAUGCAUAGAUAUCACGCAGAACUCCGAUCGCGAAGGCAGCAUACCGGCGCGCAACUGACGCUCAUGCACGAAAGCGUGGGUAUCGAACAGGAUUAGAUACCCCUGUAGUC
rnacentral:rRNA from 1 species